GACUCGCAUGCAAUUGCCAUCAGUAAACCUCACUCAAAACCCAAAAUUUUACUGCACGAAAAAAUAAUGGAAAAUCUAGCCAAAAAUUGGAUGAGCUAACCCUAGUGCUAUUUUUGGAAAUAGAAUUGAAAUGAUAAAGACUGGAAAACGAAAAACCAGAAUUGGGGCAUAGAUUUUAGUAAGUGUAUUGUGGAAGAGCGAAAUUUGAAUAUGCAAGAGAAAGUAAUAGAAAAGAAUGAAAAUGAAAAAGGGGUUUUAAAGGGUCAGAGACAGAGAGAGAGAUUUUUUUCAUAUUGAUUAAAGAAGAUGUUUUGAUGGUGGCGAGGGUGAUGGUGGCGAGUUCGAACGCUUUGGCUGCGUCGAGAGUUGGUGAGGUGGAGAAGAUUCUGCAGACCAG
rnacentral:misc_RNA from 1 species